UAGGGAAUUUUCCGCAAUGGGCGAAAGCCUGACGGAGCAAUACCGCGUGAGGGAUGACGGCCUGUGGGUUGUAAACCUCUUUUCUCAAGGAAGAAGUUCUGACGGUACUUGAGGAAUAAGCAUCGGCUAACUCUGUGCCAGCAGCCGCGGUAAUACAGAGGAUGCAAGCGUUAUCCGGAAUCACUGGGCAUAAAGCGUCUGUAGGUUGUUUAGUAAGUCUGCUGUUAAAGACUGGGGCUUAACCCCAGAAAAGCAGUGGAAACUGCUAGACUUGAGUGUGGUAGAGGUAGAGGGAAUUCCUAGUGUAGCGGUGAAAUGCGUAGAUAUUAGGAAGAACACCAAUGGCGAAGGCACUCUACUGGGCCAUAACUGACACUGAGAGACGACAGCUAGGGGAGCAAACGGG
rnacentral:rRNA from 1 species